GUGGGGAAUAUUGGACAAUGGGGGAAACCCUGAUCCAGCGACGCCGCGUGUGUGAAGAAGGCCUGCGGGUUGUAAAGCACUUUCGGUGGGAACGAAAUAUGCCGGGCUAAUACCCCGGUAGGCUGACGUUACUCAAUGAAGAAGCACCGGCUAACUCUGUGCCAGCAGCCGCGGUAAUACAGAGGGUGCGAGCGUUAAUCGGAAUUACUGGGCGUAAAGCGCACGUAGGUGGCGACGUAAGUCGGGUGUGAAAGCCCCGGGCUCAACCUGGGAACUGCAUUCGAGACUGCAUUGCUGGAGUACGGAAGAGGAGGGCGGAAUUCCCGGUGUAGCGGUGAAAUGCGUAGAUAUCGGGAGGAACAUCAGUGGCGAAGGCGGCCCUCUGGUCCAGUACUGACACUCAAGUGCGAAAGCGUGGGGAGCAAACAGGAUUAGAAACCCGAGUAGUCC
rnacentral:rRNA from 1 species